rnacentral:lncRNA from 1 species
UUAAAGGUGAGAAGGUUGAUACUAGGAACCUGGAAAAUUUUCUGGAAAAUAUAGGGAUAAAUCUCACAGAAGAUAAAGGCAUGCAACUGCUGAAUAAUCUUCCAAUUGAUGCCAAAGGAAAGGUAUAUGUGAACAGAUUGAUGAAAGAAUUGAGAGGUCUUGAAGGAACAAAAGUGUCUUCAGAUAAGAUGGAAAUUUUCAUGAAAAGCAUGGGAAUUGAUCUCAAGGAGAAAG